UGACCUUGCACAUACUGUGGUAAAUUUAAGAUGCAUGAUACAAUCCCUGGGAAAAUCACCAAGAAAGUAAUACAAUCCACAGUUAAAAGAGCAGAGGAGGAAUUAAAAUGUGCACUUGUCUGCCUGGGCGGCAUGACAGAACACCAAGCCUGGGUGCUUCAACAACCAUGAUUUGGUUUUCACAGUUCUAGAGACUAAGAAGUCCAAGAUGAAGGUGCUGGAUGAUUUGGUUUCAGGUGGCUAAAACCGUCUGGUUCACAGCCUUCUCUGCUCUCAGGUGAGGUUUUGUUUUUCUGAGCUGGGGGUCAACUUCAGGGCCUCAUGUGAAAUGAAAAAGUGCUUCAGUCAAAUCUGGAGGACGGCAGGGGAACCUCAGAAGUGGCAGAUGUGCUGCAGACAGGCUCGGCAAGCACUUCACUGAGCCACACCAGCACCGCCUUAGCCCCUUGAGUGCUUGUAAACAGAGUGAGCUGUCUGGUGAGCACUUCAGUGCACCAUCCAGGGCCUGAAGCCCUUCACUCCCUGGUGCAGCAUCUCCACCACUGUCUCCAGGACUCUUCCUCUUGCAAAGCUGAAACUCCAUCCCCAUAAGGCACUGACUCUCUCAUUCUGCUGAGCCCCUCGGGCCCACCGCUCUGUGCAGUCUGUCCUGUGACUGCUCCUGUACUCGGCACAGUGCCCUUGGAGUCCAUCCACACAGGAGCAUGCGUCAGAACUGGCUUCCUCUUAAGGCUGGGUGGUACUCCACCCAAUGCAAUGCCAAGUCUAUUCAUCCAUCUUCUGUUGGCAGACCACAGGCUGCUUCCAGGCAUUAGGCUAUGCAUACUGUGCUGGAAACCUGAGUGGACGGCAUCUCAGCAAGACCCAGGCACAGGAGUGGACGCAGCCACCACAACUGCGUGGAGUCCCAUUCUGUGGCAUCACCUCAUCUUCCCCCCAGCGUGGACAAGUGCCCGGCUUCUCUCCACACCUUCACCAGCACUUGAUACACAUGUUUCUGAAACAGCAGUCCAGGAGGCGGAAGGUCUCUCUCACUACGAUUUGGUUUGCAUUCCCUACGAGUCAGCGAUGGGCACCUUAUGUGCUACUGGCUGUCUGUAUUUCUUCUUAGCCCACUAAGUCCUUUGCUCACUUUUGAACACUUUUGUUGCUGUUGUCCUUUAUAUAUUCUGGGUCUUAAUCUCUUACUAACUAUGAUGUACAAAUAUUUUCUCCCAUUUUGUGGGUUGCUUUUUUUAAAAAAAUCUAUUUUUAGUUGUUGGUGGACCUUUAUUUUAUUUAUUCAUAUGCGGUGCUGAGAAUAGAACCCAGUGCCUCACACAUGCCAGGCAAAUGCUCCAUCACUGAGCCACAAUCCCAGCCCUGAGGGUUGCUUUUUUGACUCUAUUAAUAGUGAAUUCUGUUGCACAAAAGUUUUAGAUUUCCACGAGGUCCCAUCUGCCUACUUGCUCUUUUGUCAUCUGUGCCUUUGAUGCCACAUCCAAGAGGUCAUUGCCAAGUCUAAGUGUCAUGAAGCUUUUGUCCUGUUUUCUUCUAAGAGUUUUAUGGUUGGGGUGUUUGGCCCAUUUUGAGUUAAUUUCUUGUAUAAUGCUAGGUAAGGGUCAAACUUAGCUUAUUCAUUAUUCUGCACAUAAUGAUAUCCAGUUUCCCAGCACUGAUGGUUGAAAAGAUUUCUUAUCCCAUUGAAAAGUGUCUUUUCUUUUUUUAAUAUUAUUUUUUAGUUAUAGUUGGACACAACACCUUUAUUUCACUUGUUUAUUUUUUUUAAUGUGGUGCUGAGGAUGGAACCCAGGGUCUUACAUGUGCGAGGUGAGCGCUCUACCGCUGAGCCACAAUCCCAGCCCUGAAAAAGUGUCUUUUCUUAUACAGACAUUGAUCCUACUUAAUUAGGGGUCAACUUUUAUGACCUCAUUUUAUCUUAAUAAUCUCCUAUAGGUCCAAUCUCCAAAGAUAGCCACAUUGAGGGUUAGAGCUUUAAAAUAUUAAUUUUGGGGGAAUAUUAUUGAGUUCAUAACAAAAUGGUACUCUAAAAAUAUCUGAUACAAAUAAGGGCAGUAAGGAUACCCAAAUAAAAUCUGUCUUACAUAACACACCUUGCAAGACCACAGGCAUGGGUCAAACCAUGUUAAUAGUUACAUUAAAUAGUAGUCCCAACCACUUAAUCAGAGGGCACAGAUUAAAAGAACGGAUCAAAAAACAAGACCAGAGCACACAAAGAAGUGCACACCUGUCAUCCCAGUGGCUUGGGAGGCUGAGGCAGAAGGAUCACAAGUUCAAGGCCAACCUUGGCAACCCACCAAGGCCCUGUCUCAAGAUCAAAUUUAAAGAAAGGGCUGAGUAUGUAGCUCAGGGAUGGAGCACUCACUUAAUAUGUGCAAGACCAACGGGUUCAAUCCCCAGUACCACCAAAACAAGACACGAGGAACCAGGAUUCUCACUGCCGCAACCUACCAGGGCCUCCUUGGAUGCAAGGGUACAAAGAAGCUGAAAUCUGAAGCAUGGGUGAGGCUGACUGUGUGGUUUGGAUCUGCAGUGUCCCUGAAAGGCUCACAUGUUGAAGGCAGCAGUCAGAGGUGGGGAUCUCGGGGACUCUGACCUCAGGUGGAUGAACCCACUGAUGGUGUUACGAGAGGCGGCGGAGACUGGGGGAAGGAAGGUUGGAGGAGGCAGGUCCCUGGGGUAUCUCAUCCUGGACCCUUCUGCCCCUCUCUCUCUGCCUCCUGCUGCCAUAACUGACCAGCUCUGCUCUACCACGUGCUCCCCACGUGAUGUUUUGCUUCACCAUAGGCCCAAGAACACAGGACUCAGCUGUCUGUGAAACCAGGAGCCAAGGAACCCCUUUCCUCCUCUAAGUUGAUUUUGUCAAGUUUUCUGUCACAACAACAAAAACUAGCACAAUAACCAUGCAAACUACUACCAAUCUAAAAAUUAAAUGAAGAAAACUCCAGAAUAAGAAACACUUAGAUAUGAAUUUAUCAGUAAAGUAUAAGACACUGUACACUGAAAACUACAAAAAGGUUCUUGAGAUAAAAUAAAGUAGAUGGAGAGACAGAUACAGCAUGUCUACAGACUGAAUUACUCAAAAUUCUUUAAGAUGGCAAUUGUCCCCAAACCGAUGGACAGACUGAAUAAAAUUCCUAUCAAAAUAUCGGCAGGCUUUGUACAAUUUGAAAAAAGAAUCCUAAAAAUUAUAUAGAAAUGCAAAGGACUUAGAAUAGCCAAAAAUUACUUUGAUAAGGUAAUAACAGAGUUAGAAAGACUUACACCAUCUGAUUUCAAAACUUACUGUAAAACAAAAAUAAUCAAGAUCACGUGGUGUUCAUGAGAAGCAGACAUCAUUGCUCAACAGAACGUAGUCCAGAAGGGUUUUAGUCAGCUUUUUCAUUGCUGUGACUAAGGGACCCAACCAGCACCAGUGUAUGGGGAGGAAAAGUUUACUUGAAGACUCACGGUUUCAGAGGGCUCAGUCCAUAGAAAGCAGAACAUCAUGGUGGAAGAGUGUGGCAGAGGGAAGCAGUUCACAUGGUGAUCAGAAAGCAGACAGAGAUACUUCAUACUCUAUAGCCAUACCCCAAUGCCCACCUCCUCCAGGCACACCCCACCUGCCUCCAGCCACCACCCAGCUAAUCCCAUCAGGGAUUAAUUCAUUGAUUAGGUUAAAUCUAGAACCCAAUCAUUUCUCCUCCAAACCUUCUUGCAUUGUCUCAAACGUGAGCUUUUGGGAGACACCUCACAUCCAAACCAUAACAGGAAGGAAGUCCUCAGAACUAUGAUCCAGAUUGCUUCCUGUGAAUAGAGUUGACUUUUGUAUGUUGACCUUGAAGCCUGCGACCUAACCACCUCCACGAAUUCUAACAGUGCCCACAGAGAGUCCUCCUCAUGUCCUGUUUAUAAUACGUUGUCAACAGCCACCUGUCUUUACCUCCAUGACUCCCUCCCUCCUCCCUGCUUCAGUCUGGCCUUGAACUUGCAGCCUGUUCAGCCUGGGCCCGGGGCUGCAGGCACAGCCCGUGCGCACGCUUGCCAUUUCUUUCUUUGCCUCACUGUACUCGCUGGAACCUCUGGACCAGUCCUUGAUUCAUUCCUGAUCUUGGAGGAAAAACAGUCCAUCUUUAACAUCAUUUUUAAAAGAACUGUUUUGAGAUGGGAUCUGGCUAUGUUGUCCAGGCUGGCCUCAAACUUGCCAUCCUUCUGCCUCAGACUCCCAAGCAGCUGGGAUUACAGGCAUGGGCUUCAAUAUUAAUUUUGAUGUUGGUUGUAGGUUUUCUAAAGAUGUCCUUUUAUCAGGUUGAGGAUGUUCCCCUUUAUUAAAUAUUGGUUGAGAGUUUC
rnacentral:lncRNA from 1 species